rnacentral:lncRNA from 1 species
CCCGCACUUUUUCUGAUAAUGCAUUUUAGAAAACUGUAGAUGACACUACAAGUGAAUGAGCCCCUACCACUGACAUGGGAAACAAAGUCGCAAUUUUGGGCUCCAGGUUUUAGAAAGGCUAAGUCCUAGAUGUUGUAGGCACUUGGGAUGUCUGGGGCUGUCAAUCAAAGGUGGAAAUCUCCCUUUGUCACCUUUUCUGUCCAUCUCUACAUUUCUCUUUCUCUCACCCCUUCUCUCACUGUCACUAUUCCAAUGUUAUUCAAAUAGUUAAAAAUGAACCAAUGGUUAUUUAAAAGUGAAGGACAUGCUAACACUGGAUUAUUAAGGGUACACACAUAUUAAAAUGAAACAAGGUCAUUGCCUUCAAUUGUUUAAACAACGUAAAGAUUUAUAUGAUCUGAAUCCUAUCAUAGCCAUCAACCUACACCACAGGACACCACAUCUGCCCUGGGCACUGUCCUGUCUGAGGCGUCUGACCCCCUGCCUGCUAUAUAGGGGCAGCACAUGCAAAUAGGGCCCACUCUGCCCAUGAAAACCAGCCCAGCCCUCACCCUGCAGCUCUGGCACAAGAGCUCCAGCCCCAGGACUCCCAGGUGUCCACUCAGUGAUCGCACUCAACACAGAUGCUCACCAUGGAGACUGGGCUCUGCUGGCUUCUCCUGGUCGCUGUGCUCAAAGGUGUCCAGUGUCAGGAGCAGCUGGUGGAGUCCGGGGGAGGCCUGGUCCAGCCUGAGGGAAUGCCUGACACUCUGCUGCAAAGCCUCUGGAAUCAUCUUCAGUAGCAAUGCAAUGUGCUGGGUCCACCAGGCUCCAGGGAAGGGGCUGGAGUCGAUCGCAUAAAUUAAUUCUGGUGGUAGCACAAACUACUCGACCUGGCGAAUGGCCGAUUCACCAUCUCCAGAAACACCAACCAGAACACGGAGUGUUCACCCUGUAGCUCUGGCACAGGAGCUCCAGCCCCAGGACUCCCAGGUCCCAAAAUUGCUUUUUGAACUCAAAGUGACAUUGGGAGACUUGUCCUAAAG